AAAAAAAAAAAAAAAACACGUAUAGACACGUAGUAUGCAAUUACGAUGACCGCAUAUACAGUAAUAAAACGAUAACAAUAGUAACGAUAGUCGUGAGCGUACAGAUGGAACGGAACGCACUGUCUCGGCGGCGACUUACGAUAUUUUUAAAAAAUGAAAAAAUGAAAAAAAAAAAAAAUUUGUUUGUAUUUUAUUGGCGAACAAGUGGUCGCCAAGUGGUAAACGUCGUGUGUCUGGGCCCGCAGUGGGU